GAGGCAAUAACAGGUCUGUGAUGCCCUUAGAUGUUCUGGGCCGCACGCGCGCUACACUGACAGAGCCAGCGAGUUUAUCACCUUGGCAGAAAUGUCCGGGUAAUCUUGUGAAACUCUGUCGUGCUGGGGAUAGGGCUUUGCAAUUAUUGCCCUUCAACUAGGAAUGCCUAGUAAGCGUGAUUCAUCAGAUCGCGUUGAUUACGUCCCUGCCCUUUGUACACACCGCCCGUCGCUACUACCGAUUGAAUGACUCAGUGAGACAUUCGGAUUGACUUUGGGGAGCCGGCAACGGCACCCCGUUGGUGAGAAGUUUGUCAAACUUGGUCAUUUAGAGGAAGU
rnacentral:rRNA from 1 species